rnacentral:lncRNA from 10 species
GGUUCGCUCGGCCGCGGUCGCUAUGGAGGAGCCGGAGAUGCAGCUCAAGGGGAAGAAAGCGCCGUGAAGAACCUGGUGGACAGCAGCGUCUACUUCCGCAGCGUGGAGGGUCUGCUCAAACAGGCCAUCAGCAUCCGGGACCAUAUGAAUGCCAGUGCCCAGGGCCACAGCCCGGAGGAACCACCCCCGCCCUCCUCAGCCUGAUCCUGGAAGAGACUCGGGGCCCCCCAGCCUCCGCCAACCCAGAGACGGGGUUUCACCAUGUUGGCUAGGCUGGUCUCAAACUCCUGAGCUCGUGAUCCUCCCGCCUCAGCCUCCCAAAGUGCUGGGAUUAUAGGUGUGAGCCACCGCACCCAGCCUUGGUUCUCCCUUUCUUCAUCUGGAUAAGGAAGGCUGGACUGCACCUUCUCUACAGGCUGAGUUGGACAUUCGCAGAUCUACCCUCCCAACCUGCAUUCUGCCUCAAGCAGCAACGCCCACCCCAGGCUCAGGCCACAUGGAGAAGCCACCCCUAGUUCCAGUGGUGGAUGUGGCACCUCGGCCUGGCCAAUCAGAGCUCCCUUGUCCUAGGUUCCUAGUGAUUGGUUUGAGAUGGACACGUGACCCAAUGAGCGACCUUUCCUGGGAGUUCUACCAGGAGCAUCAGGAAGGUUGAGCUGGGUGUAUGGGAACCAGGCCGGGGCGAGGGGUUCCGGGGGGACCUGAGAACAUUGUGUGGAGCCCUGGAUCCAACUGUACCUGACACUAGCCAAUUUCAUUUCUUCAGUUUCAUGGACCCCUAAAUUAUGAUUUUUGCCAAAA